ACUCACUCAAUUGGGAUCAUCACUUCAUUAGUUCUGAAAGGAGGCAAGUCCAAGGUGGGUUAUACCUUGCCAACACGAAGUCCCCGUUCACCUUAGCCCCAUCUCUCUCUAAGCUCUUUUUCAACUUCUCCACCUUCUCCUCCACCACCUUGUCUGUAGCCACACCUCCAAAUUUCACCACCCCAUACUUCUUCUCCCUCUCUUCCCGUAUCACCACCCUCUCAUCUGUUGGCUUCGGUGCCUCCUCUGCCUUCUUAUACUUGGCGGGCAACAAAAACUGCAUAGUAACCAUCUUCUCCCCUCCAGCACCCUCCUUUGUCACUACAGGAGCUGUCAUGGCAAUCUUUUCACCACCACUUUUGGUUAUAACUGGAGCUGUCAUGGCUAUCUUUUCAGGCUUGGUGUUUUGUGGAUUGCCUACGGCUCCUAUGUAAUUAGCUAGCACCAUGAAUCCGCCAUCUUUGUCGCCUUUGAAUAGGGAUGGAUCAUACGUGAAUUCUGCAAGAACUAACGGUGCAUAUUUGCGUUCACUGGUGGACUGAAUCACUUCAUACUCUGGGGUUUCCACGGUGAUCCUUCCAAGAACCAUUCCCAUUUUGUAGAAUUAAGUUUCAAGUGCGUGCUAAACAAG
rnacentral:misc_RNA from 1 species